rnacentral:rRNA from 1 species
GGGAGCAAGCGUUGUUCGGAUUUACUGGGCGUAAAGGGCGCGUAGGCGGCCAGCACAAGUCAGUUGUGAAAUCUCCGAGCUUAACUCGGAAAGGUCAACUGAUACUGUGCGGCUAGAGUGCGGAAGGGGCAACUGGAAUUCUCGGUGUAGCGGUGAAAUGCGUAGAUAUCGAGAGGAACACCUGCGGCGAAGGCGGGUUGCUGGGCUGACACUGACGCUGAGGCGCGAAAGCUAGGGGAGCGAACGGG